UUAAGUUCAGCGGGUAGUCUCACCCGAUUUGAGGUCAAGGUUUUUGUGGGUCCAGCCUCCCGCCAGCGUAGGUGGCGGCGACCGGAGCACCAUCGUCGUCCAAGGGACUGUUAGAAGCAAGGGACAGUGCCAAAUCCAAAACGUAGAAACAUCUUAUCACGUCAAGGAUCAGCAAAGCGGACCCCACUGAUUCAUUUGGG
rnacentral:misc_RNA from 1 species